rnacentral:rRNA from 1 species
AUCCCGCCGGAGGCUACCGCUAUUGGAGUUCGAUUAAGCCAUGCGAGUCGAGAGUCUUAGGGACUCGGCGUACCGCUCAGUAACACGUGGGUAACCUGCCCUAUGCUGGGGAAUAACCUCGGGAAACUGAGAAUAAUGCCCCAUAGUUCACUACGCCUGGAACGGUGAGUGGAUGAAAGCUCCGGCGGCAUAGGAUGGGCCUGCGGCGUAUCAGGUCGUAGGGGGUGUAACGUACCCUCUAGCCAUCGACGCGUACGGGUGUUGGGAGACAUAGCCCGGAGAUGGAUUCUGAGACACGAAUCCAGACCCUACGGGGUGCAGCAGGCGCGAAAACUUGGCAAUGCGAGAAAUCGUGACCAGGGAACUCCAAGUGGCUGGGGUAAGACCCAGUCUUUUCUUGACUCUUCAAAGGUCUUGGAAUAAGAGGUGGGUAAGGACGGUGCCAGCCGCCGCGGUAAUACCGGCGCCUCAAGUGGUAGUCGAUUUUAUUGGGCCUAAAACGUCCGUAGCCUGUUUGGUACAUUCAUGGGUAAAUCAACCAGCUCAACUGGUUGAAUUCUGCGAGCACGGCCAGACUUGGGACCGGGAGAGGUGUGGGGUACGCUCAGGGUAGGGGUAAAAUCCUGUCAUCCUGAGCGGACCACCUGUUGCGAAGGCGCCACACUAGAACGGAUCCGACGGUCAGGGACGAAGCCUAGGGGCACGAACCGGAUUAGAUACCCGGGUAGUCCUAGGUGUAAACGCUGUGGACUUGGUGUUGGGGAUUCUCCGAGGAUUCUCAGUGCCGAAGCGAAGGUGAUAAGUCCACUGCCUGGGGAGUACGGUCGCAAGGCUGAAACUUAAAGGA